CGCAUGCGCAGAUCCCCUGUAUAAAGGAAUGGACCAACCUGAAAGCUGCUCGAGCUGAGGAGGAUCUUCUAGUGACCGGAUAUUGCGCAAUACAUCAAAGGGAUUGCGCCCCGGGCAAGCCCAUGCAUGCCUCGGGCAAGCCCAUGCAUGCCCCGUGAAAGUAGCCAUUUAAUUAAUUGUGAUCUGCGCAUGCGCAGAUCCCCCUCUAUAAAGGAAUGGGCCAAACUAAAAGCUGCUCGAGCUGAGGAGGUCUGAGUUAAUUGGUAGGUGUGGUUAAUGAUUAUGGCGGCCCAUCCUACAUACUAGUGUGCAAGGAGACUUAUUCUUGUUAACAAAUUGACUAUGGCUGGGACUUAAAAUAUUAAAGGACCUUCUUUCUUGAUAGCUUUGGGUGACGGGCCGUCUUUCACUAUCAUUGGGGACUUGUACUCAAUCCUGGAGGCUUACCUCAUCCAUUACAACUUGAGAUGGACUUUGAUGUACACUAAUGAAGUCUUACUCUUUUUCAAGGUGAUAGAUCAUCUUUUACCAAGAUAGGACAGCUUAUAUUCAUUAUAUCUUUUUAAUUGUACAACAUUACUGUAUAUACUGAGAUAUUUAACUGUUGUUGUUUAAUUACUGUGGUGUGUAAACUGUUUUACCUGUAUUUUAGUGUAGUAUUAAGUUUAUUAUAACAAUAACAAUGACUAUUUAGCUAACUAUUAGGUGUGAUAAUGGCAGUAGUGACGUUAUUACUCUAAA